UAUUAUUUUUGCCUGUAAAUAGUUUUUGAGUUUUGAUUUGAUAUUCUGAACUUAAAUAUCAAAAUAUAAACAGAAAAAUGACUUAAAAGAAAUAAGAGGAAAAUAGAUAGUUAUGUUGGUAAUAAUGUGGAAGAGGGUUGUUUUCUAUCUGAUGGUCAAAAUUAAUCCUGGGUAUUCCUUAUUUUUUUCGAUGUAUAUACUUAUAGUACAUGAGACUAGAUUGGAGACAUCCCUAGAUUGGAAUGGUCUGGAUUCCCAAAAUUAUAGUAAUAAUUUUUCCAUAUCCUAUAUUUUGCUGAUUCUUACUAUGAAACAAAUACGUAAUUUAAUACCUUAAGCUUUGAUAUAAUAUAUAACAAAAAUACUGAACUUUUGCAUCCUAAUAUUUUUAGUUUAUGUGCUCUAUGUAUGUAUCCAUUAUAUUUAUUUAAUAAAUCUCAUCGAAUUAUUGGCAUCCUAACCGUUGUAUUGUAAACCCUGAAACGGUUGACCUCAAAUACUUCGCUUUAUUUUUUGAUGCCAUUCAGUGAUCAGUUUUGUUCUUAUUCCAUAAAUAAAAUAUUUUAUCAAAAAUAAUAAUAAUAAUGAAAUUUCAAAAAAAAUUGUUCGAUUUUUACAUUUUACUCUGAUUUUUAGUCCAA
rnacentral:lncRNA from 1 species